rnacentral:rRNA from 1 species
GUGCCAGCAGCCGCGGUAAUACGGAGGGUGCAAGCGUUGUUCGGAUUUACUGGGCGUAAAGCGCGCGCAGGCGGAUUAGCAAGUCAGAUGUGAAAUCUCGGGGCUCAACCCCGAAACUGCGUCUGAAACUGUUAGUCUAGAAUCUCAUAGGGGGUAGGGGAAUUUCACGUGUAGGGGUAAAAUCCGUAGAGAUGUGAAGGAACACCUGAGGCGAAGGCGCCUGCCUGGAUGAGUAUUGACGCUGAGGCGCGAAAGCGUGGGGAGCAAACAGGAUUAGAU